rnacentral:rRNA from 1 species
AACGAACGCUGGCGGCAGGCCUAACACAUGCAAGUCGAACGGGAUCUUCGGAUCUAGUGGCGGACGGGUGAGUAACGCGUGGGAACGUGCCCUUUGGUUCGGAAUAGCCCUGGGAAACUGGGAGUAAUACCGGAUGAGCCCUUCGGGGGAAAGAUUUAUCGCCAAAGGAUCGGCCGGCGUUGGAUUAGGUAGUUGGUGGGGUAAUGGCCUACCAAGCCGACGAUCCAUAGCUGGUUUGAGAGGAUGAUCAGCCACACUGGGACUGAGACACGGCCCAGACUCCUACGGGAGGCAGCAGUGGGGAAUCUUAGACAAUGGGGGAAACCCUGAUCUAGCCAUGCCGCGUGAGCGAUGAAGGCCUUAGGGUUGUAAAGCUCUUUCGUGGGGGAAGAUAAUGACUGUACCCCAAGAAGAAGCCCGGCUAACUCCGUGCCAGCCGCCGCCGUAAAAC